GAUAACUGCAUUUGGAUUUGUCUUGGUAGUUUACAAAUGACCUAAAUUUAAUUUAAUGGCUCAGUACUCAGGAAAAAUUGGGGAAUUCUGUUGUUCUGACAUAAAAUGUAAUUGUCGUGAAAAGUGCCAUAAUGUUACAGUUAUCAAAAAAAGCCAACAGAAGAUCUUUUAGUCGUCCCUCAACUGGAACGCUGAAAGGACAGGCCUCUCAACUCUUUCUCCAAAAGGAACGAACCAAAUGCGUGAUCUCUAUGGAUUUAGCAGCACCACAAAUUUGGAUCGACAUCUCCACAUUUAUUGAGGCUUAACUAAAAACAAAAUACUGCAGAUGCUGGAAGUCUUAAAGGCAGAAAGUUUGAAAGAGACUCUGCAAGUUCUGGCACCAUCUCGGAACAUGGAAACAGAGUUAAUGGUUUGAGUUUGGAAUGACUGUCCGCAUUUAGCUCGCCAAUUUUCUUUGUUAUUUAGAAAUUGGCACAUAUCCUGUGAAUUUUAAUCUCUGUUAUCUGUUCUUGAAAUGCCUUGGCUUGAUUUGUUUUCUUUCUACAUUGCACUCAUGCAGAAAGCAAACAGUGCGGGAAGGAAGCUGUGUGUAUUUUAAAAGAAAAGGCGAUGGCCAUUCUGCCUUCAGUCCCAUUUUAUUGGACCAUGCUAAAUCUGAAUCUUAAUUCCAUCCACCUGUCAGGAUUCUGUAACAUAAGUUAGGGUGUAGCAAUUAUGCAGUGUACUUCCUGAAAAGGAAACCUGUAACAAUUGGAAUAAGGGCUAGUGGAUCUCAUUGACUGAGAUCUCUGAUUGUUCACUUGGGCCAAUCAGGGAGCCAUGGCUGACAGAUAUAAAAGGAAACUAGGUGUGUCAGGUUGGACCGAGAGC